rnacentral:lncRNA from 1 species
GGAUAAAGAAACUGUGGUGUAUAUAUAUAUGACGGAAUACUACUCAGCCAUAAAAAGGAAUGAAUUAAUGGCAUUCACAGCAACCUGGAUGGGAUUGGAGACUAUUAUUCUAAGUGAAGUAACUUAGGAAUGGAAAGAUAAAACACUACAAAUUGGGUUCAGUGUAUUCUGCUCGAGUGCACCAACAUCUCACAAAUCACCACUAAGGAACAUACUUAUUUAACCAACCACCUGUUCCCCAAAAACCUAUGGAAAUAAAAAAUUGCAACAAAAUAUCAAUUAAAAAAAAAAGCCAGACUCUGCAUUAAGGAAUGGUAUGAUCUUGUGAGGAGGUCUAACAUCUCUGGGCUUCAGUGUCACCCUCUGG